UACGGAGGGGGCUAGCGUUGUUCGGAAUUACUGGGCGUAAAGCGCGCGCAGGCGGUUCUUUAAGUCUGAUGUGAAAGCCCACGGCUCAACCGUGGAGGGUCAUUGGAAACUGGAGAACUUGAGUACAGAAGAGGAAAGCGGAAUUCCACGUGUAGCGGUGAAAUGCGUAGAGAUGUGGAGGAACACCAGUGGCGAAGGCGGGUCUCUGGGCCGAUACUGACGCUGAGGAGCGAAAGCGUGGGGAGCGAACAGG
rnacentral:rRNA from 1 species